rnacentral:ncRNA from 2 species
CUCUUAUCAAGAGAGGUGAGGGAUGUGCCCAAUGAAGCCCGGUCAACCGUCAGCGCAUCUGCUGAAACUGGUGCCAAUUCACACAAAGCGGCCUGCUUUGAGAGAUAAGAG